rnacentral:rRNA from 1 species
CCCUUAGAUGCUCUGGGCCGCACGCGCGCUACACUGGUCGAUGCAACGAGUUUCUUUCCUUGGCCGACAGGCCUGGGCAAUCUUUGAACAUCGAUCGUGAUCGGGAUAGAUUCUUGUAAUUUUUGAUCUUAAACGAGGAAUUCCUAGUAAACGCAAGUCAUCAGCUUGCAUUGAUUACGUCCCUGCCCUUUGUACACACCGCCCGUCGCACCUACCGAUUGAAUGGUCCGAUGAAAUCUCCGGACUGGCGUGAGUCGGAGCAAUCUGACAAACGCCGGAAAGUUGAUUAAACCUUACCAUUUAGAGGAAGGUGAAGUCGUAACA